rnacentral:lncRNA from 1 species
UCGCCGAACGGACAGAGUUUUCCCUGUACAUCCUAGGCGUCGCAAUCAAUACAAUUCACGAGGUUCCAACCAGGAACACAUUCCAACAUACAGAUUGCAUAUGGAAAGGUAUCAACAACAUAAACACAUCCUAUGUUAUUACAAGCAUUCACAUUAAUACAUUGGCUUACAUCAUAAUUACACUUUCUCUCGAACAUACAAUCUGAUUUAUUACAAUUUAUUACACAUUUGAUACAUCUUGUUCUUUCAUUUUCCUCUACCCCUAGGCUAUGCCGACUAAGGGUACCACUAUCUCUGGUCUCUGGGUAGGGCACUAUCUAAGGAGCUAUGCCCUUACUUCGCGCCGCCGAGCCGCUCACGUGCAAACCUGUAACACCCCAAAACAACGUGGGGUGAGAACCAACUCCAUGGUUCCCAGUGGGUACGGCCACCCAAGGGAAAAGCUCGACCAAUAGGUCUAAGGAGGCACUGCAACAAGUUAGUCCAAUAACAUAUAACAGAUAUAUAUAUAUAUAUUCGAUAUUGAACUAAAUCUCAUGCCUCGCGAAAUGCAAUAUUCAAUACCUGUAACUUUAUGCAAGUAGAUUAAUUGAUUCUACUUCAUAUUAUUAGCCAUUCUUUACUUGUAGCCGAUCUUUACUUUAUUAGCUAUUCUUUAUCAUUAGCUUUUCUCUAGUCUUUACUUGGUCACAUUACACUCAUUGGCGAUUCUUUCCUAAGGUUGCUCAUACCUUAGCCAUCUAUGCCACUCAACUCGGUCUUGAGUCAAUCCUCUGCGGAUAGUACGCACACUGGCUGCUCAACAUGUCACGCCCCGAGCUCCGCCAAUUUGGUCGGAUUCGAGCACAUGACAGACGCCGAACGGACAGUACCUCACCUGUCAGCCCAAGGCUCCAACAACAAGUAUAUUACAAGCAAGUCAAAAGAGAAUUGCGGAAUAUACAAGGUUUGCACAAAGGCGAACAACAACUGCAGUGAAAGCAUCAAAACUAACUAAAUAUUCAAUAUACAUGUUAUUUGAUUUCAUUUAAAUCAAACACAAGUAAUCUAUUACAUUCAUUUACCUUCAUUUACAGCACGAUUUCUUUUAACCAAAAGACUAGUUUACAUCAUCUUUAUAUUACAUCAUUUUCACCGUACAGUUUCAACAUACAAAAGUUGAAUACACCGAGUGUAGGGUACGCCUAUACAACUCCGGGGUCGCUAUCUACAGACGACCUAGUCGCUUCGGUAAACACAACCCACCUUAACUCGCGUUCCGAUUGCUUGUUGACACUUGCAAUCGGCCUCCCGCGGCACCCGUAUCCGGCACGGCCCAAUAUUGCAACUGCGCCACAACCGUGCUCUGCUUCGCAGCCCGAAAAUUAUAGGUCUGCGGUUAUGUGCCACGGUGCUCCAAAUCCAUUUCCACGAUUUUACGACGUUGCCUCGGCCCUCCAGGCGGAAACGAAGCUAAAUCGUCAGUUUCUUCAAUAUCUUUGUAACGGCUCGACGGGUUGCCGAAUCAACUUCGCCAACGUGUUCGUUUACCUAGCAAUUAGGUUUACGGAGGGUUAAAUGAGAUCAAACCCUUAUAUUUACAAAAAUUUCACUUUGGAUGCCCUAGAUGCUACUAUUGAGAAAACCACCAAAUCGAUCUUUGAUUCAUGCAAUAAACACCUAAUUAGCAUCUAGGAAUGCUACUAAAUCCAUUUCUAGAGCAUUAGGAUCAAACUCUAGAUAUCUACCAUUGUAGGGUUUGGAGCUUGCCUCCAAAAGCUCUCCAAAAGUAAUGGAAGAAGAAGAAGAAUACGAUGGUGAUUCUUCCAAGCCUCUUCUCUUUCAAUCCUUCCUCUUUUUCUUCUUAUUCUCCUCCUCCUUCUUUUCUUUCUAGAGAGAGAGAGGGACACAUUUGGGUUCACACGGUUAAGGAAGAAGAGAGAAAUGAGCCAAAACCCACUUCUAUACACUCUCUUAAUGCCAAAAUUGCAUAUAAGCCCCUCAACAAUGCAUCUCUCGCAACAGCCCAAACUGGGCAUUUUGGGGUGCUGGGACCGGUCCCAGGCGGUGAGAGACUAGUCCCCGAAGGACCAAAUUUCCAGACUUAGCCAAUUUUUCAGCAUUUUCAGCCUUCAUUCGUUUUCGCUCCGUUUUCGCUCGUUUUCGCUCGUUUAACCUCUGAUUCUUUUCAAAUCGAACCGAGACUCUCCAAACAUGUUUUCGAACAUGUUUUCAUCAUCUUUUCAUCCACGCUAAUGCCUUAUUUAGCUCACGGCCCAACAUGGCCUUUCGGGUUCCGUUUUCGCGCCUACGCGCACCGAAACGCCCGGUUGCUCCAGAACUUCACCGAACUUCACCGGGACGAUUCAAAUGGCUUUCCAACCAAAUGUACACCGUAACUUCAUGAUUUUAGAAGUUCGGUAUGUUACAAAUACGACCCUUGGUCGAGUUCGUAUGAAGUCUAACUCUCGUAUUUCGAGAAUUCACUUCCUUACAGGCAUCCCUACAGGUGGGUGGUGCUAUCCAAAGUCAUUGAAUCCCUCUUUAUGUCUAUAUUGCCUUCUUGAGCAUAUCUGUAUAUAAGUAAAAUAAUAUUCAUGCAUUAUAGGGUAAAUGGCAUUAUCUAUUUAUGAAAUGAAUAAUUGAGCAAAUCUCAGUAUUAAGAACAUGUGAACCAUAGAGUGUGGACCUAGAACCCUAUGAAUGUGUGAAUUUUACUGUGGACUAUAACAAUAGUAAACUUGGUGACAAUAUGACUAGAAGCAUUGGUUAGCAUCAAUGUUGGAACUGUAAAGCUAGCAUAAAGAGCUAGUUAGAAAUUAAAUUGUGGCAUUGUCAGUUAUUGAAUCCUCUAAGGGAGGAUUGGAUCAUACUCACCUAUUAAGUUUUGGCUUGGCGGUGGUCGCCCCCCCCAAGCAGUGCUGUCACGCCCCGGGACCGACGGAGGCCCUCCCGGUAGCAUGCCCAGACCCGCCAUAUGUCCACACAUAUAAGGCGUCUACAAUAAAAGCGGAAGUAAAAACAAGUAGUAGAACAAAUAGAAGAAGUAGUAUAAUUAGGAUAGUAACAACCAGUGAUAUCAGAGCGAAUAAGAUUCUAUCAUCUACACCAAAGUGAAGAAAUAAAGCUAGACAAUAAAAGAAACCAUAAGUAGAACACUAUUAGUCUCAAAAGUACAAAAAUGGUGGUCUCUAAUACACUGGUAAAACUCUCAACCUCUCGCAAAAAGAAAUACAUCGAGAGGUAGACCACCUAACAACUCGUCCCUCGCUGAAGAGCUAGCUAGAAGCAAUGCCCUUCCCUCGGUCCCUGGCCUCACCCGGCGUGGAAGGCUCUGAAAAACAUCGAGAAAAGAGGGCGUGAGAACUAUAAUUUAUAGUUCCCAGUGGGCAAUUACUGACCUCAGCUCAUCGCACCACUAGGCCCCAAAAGAAAAGGGGUAAGUAUAAUAAGCAACAAUAAGAAUAAUAGUAACAACUAUAGAAAGCAUAAUAGACGUGCUAAUCCAUAUGUCUCAAGUAAGCAUGAUGCCAUGGUGAUGUACAUCUACGCUAUCAAAUGGUGAUAUGUCCAAUGCAUACUAAUACGGUUCAACGCAAUAAACAAGUAAACCUCACGAUGCAAUGUGCAAUGCAUAAGGGUAAACACUAUCCAAACAUCCGAGUACACUACUAUGCAAUAAUGAAACCGGCAAGUAUACUAAAUGUAUCAAUGCCAUAUCAUGAGCAUGUCCAAGUAAUCCAACUACCGAUCCUAUCGAGCAGUGAUUGACCAUAUACCACACCGUGUCGAUUUCCAUUUCCAAUUAGGGACCUACCCAAGGUAGUCCAGCUUGUGCCGCCUAAGUGCCUGUGGUAGCCCGACAUUCCUAUACAUGGAAUGUGUCUGUCCCACUCGACCCCGUAGGCUUCUCGAUACCGCACGAGCGAACAUAAGUCGCGUAGGCUAACUCCGGAGUGCCGGCUUGUAGGGAGCGACCCUCACAAGCAUGUGCGAAUGAGCACAAAUGGCAAGCAAGCAUAGUCCAAGUCUCAAGUAACCAAUCCUCAUGUCUCUAACAUGGUAUAGCCACUAGCAUCCCGAAGAUCUAGUUUAAGUCACAAUGUGAAUUUUCAACUUUUGCUACGCCUAGUGCCCCUUGAUGACACUUAGGCAAUCUGGUGUCCAACAUGUAUCCCAAGUCCCUCGAUGGCCCUAUCCACUAGGUUCACACAUGUCCCGAGCUCAAUGCCGCUUGAUGACAUUAGCUCUCUAAUUCACAUACCUUCUAAAUGACAAUCUUGUCAACUUUCAUGUCCCAAUAAACUUAGGUUUAAAUGCAUGAAUCCGAACUCAUUUAUACUAUAGAAGCAUGAAACCAAGUCUCAUGAAGAAUGCUAAAUGCAACCAAAGAUCUCCCAAGCAACUCUCUACUACAUAGAGGUCCAAAAUUUCACUACAUAUAACAUAUGCAUUUUAAGCAUUCUAAAAAUCACAAUAAAUACAUGUAACAAGAAUAUGCAUGCUUUUUCAUUUAACGAUACAUAAUUAAGCACAAAUGAGAAUUUCUCAUUGUGUGGCUAGGUCAAACCCACCGAACCGUCGCGUAGGGUCUCGAUUCGCCGAAUAAAGUUGUCCCCGAGUCUCAAAAUACCCUAAAAGUGAUCAGCGAAGAGAUACGAGGGCAUUACGACCAUCUUAUAAAACCAAUUAUUAACCUAGAAGCAAAAAGGGCCAAAACUCACCUUAAGAGAAGAAAUCUCUUCCAAAGCUCCAAAAGAGAGCUAGAACCCUUCCAAACCAAGCCCAAGGAAGGUUCUAAACCAAUCAAUCUAGCUCCAAAAGCCCUAGGUUCAAAAUGCCCAAAAUAAGCCCUAAGUAUCAAUUCUAGGGUUUCAUCUCAAAAACUUAGCAAAACAAGAUCUAGAGGAGGAAAAUGAGCAACCAACCUCCUUAGAAGCUCCAAUCCUAGCUCCAAGGGUGAAGAUCUCCUCCUAUGCAAGCUCCAAGACCAAGCCUUCAAGCACCAAGGGAGAUGAGAGGGUGAGGAAGAUGCUCCAUGCCCACUAGUAGCUCCAAACUCCUCCUUCCCUCCUUCCUCUCCUUCUCCUUCUUCUUCUUCUUCUCUAACAAGGGUGUAGAGAGGGUUGAGAGAAGAGAAAUGGGGAGAAGAGAGAGUGGAGGGGUCAUAUAGACCCUCUAUUGUAACAAAAUCCCAAGAGGCCCCUCAAAAAUCCAAUAAUACAUCAGCCCGGUCUGGGCAGUUUUCGCCCAAAGGGACCGGUCUCUCCCCAGCAGGGACCGGUCUCUCGCUGCGAACCCGAAAAACCAACGUUCGGGAACCGGUCUCUCCCUGCGCAGGACCGGUCUCUCAUUGCGAAAACGCGCUCGGGGACCGGUCUCACCCACCAGGGACCGGUUGCCUCAGGGCUGCCGCAACACUGCUCAUUGGGGGACCGGUCUCUCCUUCCAGGGACCGGUUCCCGAGAGUGAAAACUCUCAGGACCAAACCAAAACUCAGGUUUUCGAACUUUUUAGGUCGGAAAACAUUCUACGACCCUCCACCAAGUGUGGAAAAGCUCGAAACACAUCCAAACACUCGAACCUCGCAAUUUGCAAAGGUUCAGUGUGUUACAAGUGCACUCCGGAGUGUGUCAUUAACUGGGUUGAUCGUAUAAGCCUUCCCAGUAGACGAUCCCGUCGGGAGGCAGCUUAGGGCCCGAUACUUAGGGAUUGCGUUGGUGAGUUAUAGUUAACCAAAUGGUUAACCAGAUGGAUUGGGUAUUGAUUAUUUAUAGCAUGCAUGCAUAAAUUUUAUAUGUUAUCUACUUUUUGUUUCAGCUUUGUACAGGCAUUGUAGUAGUUGCAUAUUAUAGCUGGUUACUAUCUACUCUCUUUUCUUGUCUACAUAUGCCUGAAUAGACCUAGUGGGUGAGUCGGCGAGGUCGGUGGCCGAACCCACUGGGAGCUUUCAGUAGUUCUCACCCCACUAACCAUGCAGGUUUUAGCUCGUGCUGGGUGGUUUCAUCAACAAGCAUGUUUUUAUAUUGACUACAUGCAUCUAUCUAGCAUUUAUAUGCAUCAAUACGAAAUCAUGUUCUCUUAAACAUAAGGGCGACCUAGUCGCUUCGGUAAGCACAACCCACCUGCUAUUGCAUUCCGAUUGCUUGUCGACACUUGCAAUCGGCCUCCCGCGGCAUCCGGUGCUCGGUUCCGCCGGAACUUGCAGUUGCGCACCAACCGCGCAUCGCUUUGCAGCCUCGGGCAAAAAGGGUCUUCGUUUUGCUGUUACGGUGCUUCAAAUCCGUUUCCAGGAUUUUACGACGUCGCCUCGGCACUCCAGGCGGAAACGAAGCCUAAACGCCCGUUUCUUUAAUAACUUCGCAACGGCUCGACGAAUCGCCGAACUGUCUUCGCCAACGCGUUCGUUUACCUAUCAAUUAGGUUUACGGAGGGUCAAAUGAGAUCAAACCCUACUAGUAGCAAAAUUUGCAUUUUGAACCCUAGGUUUCAUCCUAUGCAAGAACUCAUCAAAUUGAUCCUAGAUUCUAGCAUUUAUCCUCUAUUUAGCAUGCUAGGAUUCCAUAAAACCCAUUUCUAGAGCAUAUAAUUGAAGCUCUACAAUUCUACCAUUAAAGGGCAUCGAAGCUUACCUCUCAAAUUAGCUCCAAAUCAUGGAGAAGAUGAAGAAGAUGAAGGCGAUUCAUCUCCAAGCUUCCAUCUCCACCAAUCCAUUCAUUUUUGGGAGAAAUCUAGAGAGAGAAUGGGAGGCUUUUCCUUUCCUUUCC